GACGAACGCUGGCGGCGUGCCUAAUACAUGCAAGUCGAACGAACCGCGACUAGGUGCUUGCACUUGGUCAAGGUGAGUGGCGAACGGGUGAGUAACACGUGGGUAACCUACCUCAUAGUGGGGGAUAACAGUCGGAAACGACUGCUAAUACCGCAUAGGACAUAGGAUCACAUGAUCCAGUGAGGAAAGGUGGCGCAAGCUAUCGCUAAGAGAUGGACCCGCGGUGCAUUAGCUAGUUGGUAGGGUAAAGGCCUACCAAGGCGAUGAUGCAUAGCCGACCUGAGAGGGUGAUCGGCCACAUUGGGACUGAGACACGGCCCAAACUCCUACGGGAGGCAGCAGUAGGGAAUCUUCCGCAAUGGACGCAAGUCUGACGGAGCAACGCCGCGUGAGUGAAGAAGGCCUUCGGAUCGUAAAGCUCUGUUGUUAGAGAAGAACAGCGCAUAGAGUAACUGUUAUGCGUGUGACGGUAUCUAACCAGAAAGCCACGGCUAACUACGUG
rnacentral:rRNA from 1 species